GAUGAACGCUAGCGGGAGGCCUAACACAUGCAAGCCGAGCGGUAGAUUGCUUUCGGGUAAUUGAGAGCGGCGUACGGGUGCGGAACACGUGUGCAACCUGCCUUUAUCAGGGGGAUAGCCUUUCGAAGGGAAGAUUAAUACCCCAUAAUAUAUUAUUCGGCAUCGGGUGAUAUUGAAAACUACGGUGGAUAGAGAUGGGCACGCGCAAGAUUAGCUAGUUGGUGAGGUAACGGCUCACCAAGGCGACGAUCUUUAGGGGGCCUGAGAGGGUGAUCCCCCACACUGGUACUGAGACACGGACCAGACUCCUACGGGAGGCAGCAGUGAGGAAUAUUGGACAAUGGGUGGAAGCCUGAUCCAGCCAUCCCGCGUGCAGGAAGACGGCCCUAUGGGUUGUAAACUGCUUUUAUCUGGGGAUAAACCUACUUACGUGUAAGUAGCUGAAGGUACCAGAAGAAUAAGCACCGGCUAACUCCGUGCCAGCCGCCGCCGUAAUAC
rnacentral:rRNA from 1 species